AACGUAGGUGGCAAGCGUUAUCCGGAUUUACUGGGCGUAAAGCGUGUGCAGGCGGUCUUAUAAGUGGUGUAUGAAAUCUCCGCGCUUAACGUGGAGGGGUUAUGGCCAGACUGUAGGACUUGAACCCAUCAGAGGGACGUGGAAUUCCGGGUGUAGUGGUGAAAUGCGUAGAGAUCCGGAGGAACACCAGAGGCGAAAGCGG
rnacentral:rRNA from 1 species